CUGGCCAUAUCACGUUGAAAAACCGCUUCCCGUACGAUCACCGAAGUUAAGCAACAUUGAGCGUUGUCAGUACCUAGAUGGGUGAUCGCUUGGGAAUACCAGGUGUUGCAAU